UACGGAGGGUGCAAGCGUUAUCCGGAAUCAUUGGGUUUAAAGGGUCCGCAGGCGGUCAAUUAAGUCAGAGGUGAAAUCCCAUAGCUUAACUAUGGAACUGCCUUUGAUACUGGUUAUCUUGAGUUAUUAUGAAGUAGUUAGAAUAUGUAGUGUAGCGGUGAAAUGCAUAGAUAUGACUCAGAACACCGAUUGCGAAGGCAGCUUACUAACAUGUAACUGACGCUGAGGGACGAAAGCGUGGGGAGCGAACAGG
rnacentral:rRNA from 1 species